CCUACGGGAGGCAGCAGUGAGGAAUAUUGGUCAAUGGACGAGAGUCUGAACCAGCCAAGUAGCGUGAAGGAUGACUGCCCUAUGGGUUGUAAACUUCUUCUAUAUGGGAAUAAAAUGUUCCACGUGUGGGCUUUUGUAUGUACCAUAUGAAUAAGGAUCGGCUAACUCCGUGCCAGCAGCCGCGGUAAUACGGAGGAGCCGAGCGUUACCCGGAUUGAUGGGGGUUAAAGGGUGGGUAGGCGGAAGGUUAAGUCAGCGGUCAAAUGUCGGUGCUAAACACCGGCCUGCCGUUGAAACUGGUCUUCUUGAGUGAGCGAGAGGUAUGCAGAAUGCGUGGUGUAGCGGUGAAAUGCGGAGAGA
rnacentral:rRNA from 1 species